UACAGAGGUCUCAAGCGUUGUUCGGAUUCAUUGGGCGUAAAGGGUGCGUAAGCGGCGCGGUAAGUCGGGUGUGAAAUCUCGGGGCUUAACUCCGAAACUGCAUUCGAUACUGCCGUGCUUGAGGACUGGAGAGGAGACUGGAAUUUACGGUGUAGCGGUGAAAUGCGUAGAUAUCGUAAGGAAGACCAGUGGCGAAGGCGGGUCUCUGGACAGUUCCUGACGCUGAGGCACGAAGGCCAGGGGAGCAAACGGG
rnacentral:rRNA from 1 species